AAGUGCUCUCUCGCCCUGCUUUCCCUCUCCUCUGCCACUGCAGGUGAAGUCUUCUUAUGAAGUGGAUUUGCUCCUUCAUCUUUCAGUACAUGAUGUCAGUCUCAAGCAAUAGCAGGCCUUUUAUUUCCCAGAAGAUACUCAUCACUGUGGGCAAACUAAUGACACAUGUUAAGGAAUUCAGUCUUAUGGAAAUCAUCUAAAGGUUUAGAAAUUAGCCACUGAUGAUCUCUAUCAAGAAUAAAGACUAUGCUAUCCUCUCAUAUGCCUUCUGAACAGCAAGAAUGAAAAUUCUUUCCAAAAUCAUAGUGGGUUUUUCAAUACCCACACAGAAAAAUCUCUAUGGAAAGAAUAAUUCAGUGUCUCUGGAUUACUUGUGGAUGUUUGGGUAGCAAUUUCAUGAUCAACCUAUUGUUUUACCUCCAACACAGCUUAACCCACAUUUCCAAGGAUGAAAAUUAACUUCUUAAGAAAAAACUACUAUACAAUAAGCAAUCAAAAGUCUUGGAAGAAGGCUAGGUGGAAGAUUAAGCUAGUGCUGCUAAGCUGGAGUAGAUCGUCAUAAAUCACACAAAUGAAAAUAAAAGGAAAAUUUUGAAAAUGAGAAUGGUAUCUUCACUGUUAGCAACAUAGAGAUAUAGCUAAUGGAAACUGAAAAUGGGAAGUAUUUGUAUUCACUGUUUAAAAAGUGUGCAUAAACAUAUGUAUAACCAACAAUUGGAAGCCAAUAAUCAUCAGUAUUGAUUAUUAUUAAAGGGUUGUUUAAAUAAUUUUUUGUACAUCCACACAAGAGAAUACAGUGCAACAAAAGGUGAUGAUAUAGUCUGUUUAUCUGAUCCUACCCAAUAAUGAAUGCUAAUGCAUCUUAUUAACACAUAUAGCAAUGUGACAUGUAUGUUAUAUAGAUAUUGAAAGUGAGUUCCAGAUACGAUAAGGAAAAAGCAAGAUAUAGAGAAAGCAUAUUAUAUGUUCCCAUGUGCAUUUGGAUGUGUAUGUAUUUUAUUUUAAUAUGUAAAAAAAAAGGGUCAAAGACAUAACUGCUCACUAAAAGCAAACUCAAUUUCACUUUUGCUUCUUUUGACAAAUUUUAACAAAACAUAUCAAUGUUAAACCAGAAGAUAAUUUAGUUAAUGUAGAACAAUGAUUUAAAGAUUUAUAUGACAUAUUUUGAUAUUCUAGUCAUGAAAAUUAUAAUUACCAUAGAAACAGCUUACUAUAAUGGCUCAUGCAGUAUAAAACUAAAGAAAAGUCAUUUCAUAUUGCAAGCUAUGAAAUAAUUCAUUUGGGAUAAACAACCAAGCAGUACUGCUGGCAGGAUUGCCAGGUAAAACUCUUGUGGUUAUUUGCUGACUCAAUCAAAAGUAAAAGGUUAUAUUAUUCAUUCAAUGCCAGAAAUUAAGAUAUUUGUUUGUGGUCAGAUUUUCUUGCUGUUUAAGUAAAAUACUUUGCUGUUUAAAAUGAAAUUUUCCAUAGUAUUCUAGAGUUGUAUAAAUAGAUUGUUACAGAUAUUAAAGUAUAAGAUUUUAGAUGCUAAUGAU
rnacentral:lncRNA from 1 species